rnacentral:misc_RNA from 1 species
GAGAAUGAUGUAGACUUGGCAAUUCAUGUUUGUAUUACCCAGAACACCUUCAUCUCCAGAGAGAAAUCCUGUUCUUGUUGUUGAAAGAAUAAUGCGUGGUUUAGGGAGAAAACCAGUGAACUCUUAAAAAUAGAUGGGGAUGUUCUUCAAGAAAAAGUAGAACUUGGUUCUUCAUGUAAUUCAUUACAUAGGUUCAAAGCCCAACUUAGAGAGACCAUAAUU